AGAGUUUGAUCCUGGCUCAGGAUGAACGCUGGCGGCGUGCUUAACACAUGCAAGUCGAACGAAGCACUUUAUUUGAUUUCUUCGGAAUGAAGAUUUUGUGACUGAGUGGCGGACGGGUGAGUAACGCGUGGGUAACCUGCCUCAUACAGGGGGAUAACAGUUGGAAACGACUGCUAAUACCGCAUAAGCGCACAGGGUCGCAUGACCUGGUGUGAAAAACUCCGGUGGUAUGAGAUGGACCCGCGUCUGAUUAGGUAGUUGGUGGGGUAACGGCCUACCAAGCCAGCGAUCAGUAGCCGACCUGAGAGGGUGACCGGCCACAUUGGGACUGAGACACGGCCCAAACUCCUACGGGAGGCAGCAGUGGGGAAUAUUGCACAAUGGGGGAAACCCUGAUGCAGCGACGCCGCGUGAGCGAGGAAGUAUUUCGGUAUGUAAAGCUCUAUCAGCAGGGAAGAAAAUGACGGUACCUGACUAAGAAGCACCGGCUAAAUACGUGCCAGCAGCCGCGGUAAUACGUAUGGUGCAAGCGUUAUCCGGAUUUACUGGGUGUAAAGGGAGCGUAGACGGCUGUGUAAGUCUGAAGUGAAAGCCCGGGGCUCAACCCCGGGACUGCUUUGGAAACUAUGCAGCUAGAGUGUCGGAGAGGUAAGUGGAAUUCCCAGUGUAGCGGUGAAAUGCGUAGAUAUUGGGAGGAACACCAGUGGCGAAGGCGGCUUACUGGACGGUGACUGACGUUGAGGCUCGAAAGCGUGGGGAGCAAACAGGAAGAGAUACCCUGGUAGUCCACGCCGUAAACGA
rnacentral:rRNA from 1 species